rnacentral:misc_RNA from 1 species
UUUGUUCACUACGGCUGCCAGCUGCGGCGGCCAGGUUGCAGCGCUGAGCUGCUGCGAGGAGACGACGACUGGGAAGAGCAUGAAGAGCUGGGCGCCGAUCAACCUCAACGUCGGCCUCGUCGUCGGCGUCCUCUUCGUGCUGCUUACUUAUCUCGUCCUCUCGCAGCAAGCUGCAAGCAGUGGCCUCAGCGUUGCCGCCACGGUCGCGCAAUGGAUCAUGGACAAACAUCUCACGACGACUAACGGUCCGGCUGAAACCUUCGUCGCUUCAGACUUGCAGCGGACCGCGGAAGAACAACUGGUUCAUGGUUCAGGUGAGAAGGGCAAGGUGGUGUACAACACGAAGGGAUCCUACUCCGAAACCUGCGAAGUCGAUGGCGACGUCCGCAUCAACAGCACGGCCCUGUCGGUGACCCUGGUGCCGGCGAUCGAUCUCUUCGGAGCGCCGCGAGUGGAGGAUCUGGCCAUACUCUCGCAAGAACAUGCCCGACAUCAAGAUGGUCACCGUGACGCAGCUGGAGGACAAGUCCUCGGCCCCGCCGUGCACGGUGACGUACAACAUACCGGCGGUCCUGUUCGCGCUCGGCGGGCUGACGGGCAACUUCUGGCACGACUUCGGCGACGUGCUGGUGCCUCUGUUCAUCGCGUCGCGGCGGUACGACGGCGAGGUCCAGUUCCUGAUCAGCAACAUGAAGCCGUGGUGGCCGGCAGCGUACAAGACCAUCCUGCAGCGGCUGUCCAAGUACGACGCCGUGGACCUGGACGGCGACGGCGACGGCGACGCGCACGUCGUGCGGUGCUUCCCGCACGUCACCGUGGGGAUCCACAUGCACAACGGCCUGAGCAUCGUCCCGGAGUGGGCGCCGGGACCGCCGGGCGGCCGCGGCCUCACCAUGGCCGACUUCACCAGGUUCAUGCGCGAGGUCUACGCGCUCCCGCGCGACGCGCCGGCCAGCCUGGUCCGGGAGGAGCCGGGCAAGCAGAGCCCGCCGCCGCGGCUGCUGCUGAUCCACCGAGAGCACAGCCGCCGGUUCAUGAACGAGCGGGAGAUACUGCAGGCGGCGGAGGCGGCGGGGUUCGAGGCUGUGGCGCUGGACCUGCGGCGCGACGUGACCGUGGACGCGCAGGCGCGGGUGGUGAACUCGUUCGACGUGCUGCUGGGCGUGCACGGCGCGGGGCUGACCAACUCGGUGUUCCUGCCGCCGGGCGCGGUGCUCGUCCAGGUGGUGCCGUACGGGAAGAUGGAUGUCAUCGCGACGCUGGAGUUCGGCCUGCCGGCGAAGGAGAUGGGGCUCAAGUACCUCGACUACGUGGUGAGCGCGGAGGAGAGCACGCUGCUGGAGAUGCUGGGGCCGGAGCACCCGGCGAUCAAGGACCCGGACUCCAUCCACCGCAGCGGGUGGGACAAGAUGACCGAGUUCUACCUCAAUAUGCAGGACGUGCGCAUCGACGUCGCCCGCUUCGCGCCCGUCCUCACCCAAGCGUUCGACCACCUACGCCAGCAAUAAUAACGCAUCGAUCGGUCGGAGGACUAACAGCCAUGCAUUAUAUUGGCACAACCAUUUCAAUGGCAUAUAUAUGUGGUCGACCACACUUGGACACCUCUACUCGCUCCCGCUCGAGUCUCAAAAAAAAAAUGUUGUAGGACAACAUCAGUAUAUGCAAAGCAUAGCUACAUCCACUUCAUUUAGCCACUAGCUAAGCUUAUUUAAAAUUGACUCUAUUCUCCUUGCUAGUUGAACUCUACUUUCUUUUGUAUUUUCUUGAACACUUUUUCCAUACGGUUUUGUUUGGAUAUUCUAGUAUUAACCCUAAUUCACAUGUAUUGAGGUGGGUAGAUUGAGAUCAACACUAGAGUACCCAAACUAGAUCUACAUGUAUUCUCCAG